rnacentral:rRNA from 1 species
UACGGGGGGUGCGAGCGUUGUCCGGAAUCACUGGGCGUAAAGGGCGCGUAGGCGGACAGUUUAGUCAGAGGUGAAAGCCCAGGGCUCAACCUUGGAAUUGCCUUUGAUACUGGCUGUCUUGAGUUCGGGAGAGGUGAGUGGAAUGCCGAGUGUAGAGGUGAAAUUCGUAGAUAUUCGGCGGAACACCAGUGGCGAAGGCGACUCACUGGACCGAGACUGACGCUGAGGCGCGAAAGCGUGGGGAGCAAACAGG